GGAUUAAAAAUUAUUUGUAUGGGACAUCAAAAAAGAAAAAAAAGUGUGUAAAAGUGCGUUUAACCAGUUGUUGUUGACGAUUUAAUUAAAUAAACAAAAGAAGAUAAAAUGUGACAGAUUGAGAUGAAAAGAGAGGGAGAGAGAGAAAACAAGAGAGCGAUAGAAAGAGAUGGAUUGAAGAAAGAGAUAGAUAUGAAAAAGAAUGCGUAUUACAACAAAAUUGUAUUGGCGCGGGGAAUGUGCAACAAAGUGUGAUACACAACAAUUCAAAUUGACUGCAAAAUAAAAAAAAAAAAUUAUCAAACUUUUAUAGUGACAAAUUGAAUGUAAAAAUUAAAUUAAUUAAAAAUUUAGUGAAAAAAAAACAAGAAGAAGAAAACAAAAUUAUUUGUCGCAUACGCUCUACUUUGCAUGGAUAAUAGAAAAAAAAAAAUAGAAAAAUCGUACAAAGUGAUAAAAUGCACAUACAGACACACAUUCAAAACAAGGUAUAAAGCUGGGAACAAGCCAAACAAAAACAUGAUAUAUUCCGAAGGACGACGACGAUUGCAUUGUUGCAUUAUUGUCAUCACCGUGUCGUUCCAAAGUCUUCACUUUCUUUCUAUCUUUAUUUUUACAAAAGAAGAUAAGCGAUGAUAAAGAAGAUGACGAUGAUAAUGAUGAUUUCGAUAUAAGAUGAAAAAAAAAGUGCUUUUGACGAAGAAAAAAGACAAACAAGAAACAAUUUGACGAAGAAAAAAUCAACACACUAUCACUUUGAAUAUGUGUGUACUGACAUGAAGGUACUUUCAACUGGUUCAAGAUGUGCUGCGAUAGGACACCGCACCACCAUCAGGGUGUAAGGACUCGUUUUUUUUGCAUACUAAACCAGGACUACUGUACUUGUACCUAUAAUGGUACUGAGUUGGGAUUCGUAUUCGCAUCCGGGCAAUGGAGGAUAAAACAUUAGACUCAAAUAAAUGAUGAUAGAAUUUCUACCGAAAUAUUGGAAAUUUUUUUUUCCGUCGGAAAUAAUUGAUGGAUGAUAUUCAUCUCUGGCAUUCACAUCAACAUCAUCUACAUACAAAACAAACACACACACAAAGACACUUAACCAAAAAGGAUCAAUUCCAGUUGAGUAGAUUUUGGCUAUAGCAAUGUGGCAUGGAUAUGGCGCAUCGCAUCGGGGGCAAAAAUGGCAAUUGUGGAAAUAAUUUGUUUUUAUGAACCAACACACAAAUUCUGGUGAAUUAUUGAUAAAUUUUCCAGUUGAGUAAAUGUGACAGACCUUGUUCGAUGAAUGCGACGCGACUUUGUUGGUCGAUGGUGGUCGACAGUGGUGGUGUCGACCAAAAAAAUUGAACGAAUGAAUAAAAACGAAAAUUAAAUAAAUUCAAAAAAAAAAAAAAAAAAAAAUUAUCCCCUUAUCCUGGUCAAACAGUGUGUGUUCCGGUGUGUUGAGGUUUAUUCUAUUUUUUUUUGUAUAUUUUAAUAUAAUUCAUUUGCCCAUCA